rnacentral:pre_miRNA from 1 species
CACCAGAAGGGGAUGAAGCUGCCAGCAUGAUCUGCAUCUAGCUUUUCUGGCUUGAUGCAUGAUCUGAGCUUGAGUUAAGCAAUCAGAUCACCUGGCAGUUUCAUCUUCUUAUGGC